rnacentral:rRNA from 1 species
UACGGGGGGGGUAAGCGUUGUUCGGAAUUACUGGGCGUAAAGGGCUCGUAGGCGGCCAACUAAGUCGGACGUGAAAUCCCUCAGCUUAACUGGGGAACUGCGUCCGAUACUGGAUGGCUUGGAUUUGGGAGAGGGAUGCGGAAUUCCAGGUGUAGCGGUGAAAUGCGUAGAUAUCAGGAGGAACACCGAUGGCGAAGGCAGGUCUCUGGGCAUUAACUGACGCUGAGGAGCGAAAGCAUGGGGAGCGAACAGG